rnacentral:rRNA from 1 species
GACGAACGCUGGCGGCGCGCUUAACACAUGCAAGUCGAACGGAAAGGCCUGCUUUCCCUUGUGGAUUGCGGGUACUCGAGUGGCGAACGGGUGAGUAACACGUGAGUGAUCUGCCCCCAACUUGGGUAUAAGCCUGGGAAACUGGGUCUAAUUCCCGAUAGGACUGCAGGGUGGUGCCUGUGGUGGAACACGAUUUUCUAGUGGUUGGGGAUGAGCUCGCGGCCUAUCAGCUUGUUGGUGGGGUAAUGGCCUACCAAGGCGGCGACGGGUAGCCGGCCUGAGAUGGUGGACGGCCACAUUGGGACUGAGAUACGGCCCAGACUCCUACGGGAGGCAGCAGUGGGGAAUAUUGCACAAUGGGCGGAAGCCUGAUGCAGCGACGCCGCGUGGGGGAUGACGGCCUUCGGGUUGUAAACUCCUUUCGACCGCGAGGAAGCCACCUGGUUGGAAGGGUGGUGACGGUAGUGGUAGAAGAAGCACCGGCUAACUACGUG